AGUGUCAAAAGUUGCUAAAUUCUACAACAACACACACGCACACAUAGGUUUAGCCGUUUAGCCCGACUUGCCAAAAAAAUCUCAAAUCGAGGAGAGAGAAAAUGGAGCACCCUGAGCUUCACUCACCAGAACACGACGACUAUGGCGAAGAAGAUGUUGCUGUUUACGACGGUGAGAUUCCCGAUGCUGAUGUUGCAGGAACUGAUGCGGAAGACGAUUCUAAAUCGCAGAAUCUUGAAGAUAUGAAGAAGAGGUUGGAAGAGCUUGAGGAUGAAGCUGGUGCGCUUCGUGAAAUGCAGGCUAAAGUUGAGCAAGAGAUGGGAAUUCCUGAAGAAUCUACCAGUGCUAACCCGACUCAAGCUGAAAAGGAGGAGGUCGAUUCCCGUUCAGUAUAUGUGGGCAAUGUUGAUUACGCAUGCACCCCUGAGGAGGUUCAGCAGCAUUUUCAGUCAUGUGGAACUGUGAACAGAGUUACCAUUUUGACAGACAGGUUUGGUCAGCCUAAGGGAUUUGCUUAUGUAGAGUUCGUAGAACUUGAAGCUGUCCAGCAUGCUCUUCUUCUGAAUGAGACUGAACUUCAUGGUCGUCAGCUGAAGGUAUCUGUUAAGAGGACAAACGUUCCUGGGAUGAAACAGUUCCGAGGAAGAAGACCAAACCCAUACGGAGGCAGAUCUAGGAGGCCGUUUAUGCCGGGAGCACCUGUUUAUCCUGCAUAUGGAUACGGGAGGACUCCUAGACUCAGACCUCCAAUGCGGUACAGGCCAUAUUGAUUAUCGACUACUAUCAGAUUUAAGGAGAGGUCAUUGCUUGUUACCGAAGUAUCAGCAGAUGUUUGAUUAUCAUCACAGCCACUGAAGGAGAUAACUUCACCACCACUAGUACCUUUCCAUCUACCUGACCUUGGGCGAUGAUCUUCCCACACAUACUGCCCACUCCUGCAAUAAUCGACCUGUUAGACAUACUGUUUCAUUUCGGACUGGCUUGCAUUGUAUUUGUAGAAGUCACCAAGACCUUUGUUUGUAUCAGGGUUUAGUACAUAAAACAGAGACAAAUCCUCCCAGUGCCUUUAUGUACCAGUUGGAUUUGCAUGAUGGACAAAAAAGGAGAGGGGAAGGGGGUUGCGAAUUCGCUAUUUCACUAUUCUUUUCUGAAGAUGGGAACUGUAGGAAAAGAAAUGGAGAUGAUCUUGAUAACUUGAUUGAUAGAAACCAUCCACAAGAAACAGAAAGGAAGUAGAUAAAAUUUUGAAUUGCAGGUGGCUUCUAAGAGCAGAAAGACUAACCCAUUCAUCCUACAAAGAAAUGGGAGGUCCAACAUAGUACCACUGUGGCAAGCAUCUAUAAUGGCAUGAAGCUUAGCACCACGAGGGAUAGGCUUGACGAUUGUGUCAUUAAUCUCAUCAUCUACAAUCAUCCCGUUUGUUUCAAAGUCUAAUGGACAGAGGGUCUCAUCUUU